GGGAAUUUUGCGCAAUGGGGGAAACCCUGACGCAGCAACGCCGCGUGGAGGAUGAAGUACUUCGGUACGUAAACUCCUUUCGAUCGGGACGAUUAUGACGGUACCGGAAGAAGAAGCCCCGGCUAACUUCGUGCCAGCAGCCGCGGUAAUACGAGGGGGGCAAGCGUUGUUCGGAAUUAUUGGGCGUAAAGGGUGCGUAGGCGGUUUGGUAAGUCUUUUGUGAAAUCUAUGGGCUCAACUCAUAGACUGCAAGGGAAACUGCCGGGCUUGAGUGUGGGAGAGGUGAGUGGAAUUCCUGGUGUAGCGGUGAAAUGCGUAGAUAUCAGGAGGAACACCUGUGGCGAAAGCGGCUCACUGGACCACAACUGACGCUGAUGCACGAAAGCUAGGGGAGCAAACAGGAUUAGAUACCCUGGUAGUCCUAGCCCUAAACGAUGACUGCUUGGUGUGACGGGUACCCAAUCCCGCCGUGCCGUAGCUAACGCGUUAAGCAGUCCGCCUGGGGAGUACGGUCGCAAGGCUG
rnacentral:rRNA from 1 species